rnacentral:lncRNA from 1 species
UUCCCAUGGGAUGCUGGUACUGGUUAAUGGAAGUCACUUAGAGUAGCAAGGAGCCUGUUUGCCUAGUAUUUACAAUGAGCACGUUUUGGGUAUCAUCAAAACAAGAGAAUCUAAAAAUGUAUGGUGUGGGUGGAAGGUUGUGUUACUUGAUAUUUCAAAAAGAUCAUUGAAAUCAGAAAAUCUCAGAGAUAUGUUGGAUUUCAUC